AGCAUGUUAGCUCAGGGGAAGAGCGCCGGGCUCAUAACCCGGAGGUACGUUUCACCGCAAACAAUUUCACCCAACGAACAUCCAACUAACAACCACAACAGGACCCUGGAUCGAAACCAGGACAUGCUA
rnacentral:tRNA from 1 species